AAAGAACUCAACUCCGAAGAGUUGAACUGCAAAUAAUUGAAAUGUCUCUUCAGUAAUCCAAGUAGCAUCCGAAUCGAAACGACCAUGCCACUUGACAAGAAAUCUGUAACAACCACCUUGAGAGGAAUUAAUAAACUAAUCAUCUAACACAGCUUCAAGAUGAUGCUGGUGAUGCGUUGUUAUGGACAGUAGUAAGGGCUUAUGGAACAGCAGGGAAACAUGAGAAAGAAA
rnacentral:misc_RNA from 1 species